UAGAGGAAGUAAAAGUCGUAACAAGGUUUCCGUAGGUGAACCUGCGGAAGGAUCAUUAUCGAAUAAACUAGGUAGAUGCUGUUGCUGUCCCUCUCGGGGGAAACUUGUGCACGCUUCUGCCUUUUUUGUUUAUCCACCUGUGCACACACUGUAGGUCUGGGGAAGUCUGGUAAGGGAGGUAACUCUCUGAACGGCUUCAUUCAUUCCCAGGUCCUAUGUAUUUUUACAUAUACACUAUAGAAAGUAACAGAACRAAUCAAUGGGCAUUAGCCUAUAAACUAUAUACAACUUUCAGCAACGGAUCUCUUGGCUCUCGCAUCGAUGAAGAACGCAGCGAAAUGCGAUAAGUAAUGUGAAUUGCAGAAUUCAGUGAAUCAUCGAAUCUUUGAACGCACCUUGCGCUCGUUGGUAUUCCGACGAGCAUGCCUGUUUGAGUGUCAUUAAAUUCUCAACCUCAUCACUUUUGUGAUGAUGGCUUGGAUGUGGAGGUUUUCUGCAGGCUUGUCAAAAGUCUGCUCCUCUCAAAUGAAUUAGUGGGUGCCCCGCGCAAACCUAUCUAUUGGUGUGAUAAUUAUCUACGCCGUGGGUUUAAGGAUUGCUGUAAAAAGGUGUUUGCCCUGCUUCUAACCGUCCUAUUCUUGGGACAACUUGAACCAUUUGACCUCAAAUCAGGUAGGACUACCCGCUGAACUUAAGCAUAUCA
rnacentral:rRNA from 1 species